rnacentral:rRNA from 1 species
AUGGCAGCGACCUCCUUCUCCUACGCCGUCGCGGUCGCUCUACUCUGCCUGCUCGCCGCCAAUGGCUGCUGCGGCUGCCCUGGACCCGCUCCUGCCCCCACACCUGCCCCCGCUACCCCCAGCCCCGUCCCCGUUACACCUCCACCUGCGCCCGCUACCCCCAGCCCAGGCUCCGGUUCGGGCAGCACCAACGACUCCUCCGGCGGUUGGUUGGACGCCAGGGCCACCUGGUACGGCGCCCCCGAUGGCGCCGGGCCAUUGGACAAUGGUGGCGCGUGCGGCUUCAAGAACGUGAACCUGCCGCCGCUCAACGCCAUGACGUCGUGCGGCAACGAGCCGCUCUUCAAGGACGGCAAGGGAUGCGGCUCCUGCUACCAGAUAAGAUGCGUGGGAAAGGCUCACCCGGCGUGCUCCGGCGUCCCCGAGACGGUGAUCAUCACGGACAUGAACUACUACCCCGUGGCCCGCUACCACUUCGACCUUAGCGGCACUGCCUUCGGCGCCAUGGCCAAGGAUGGCCGCAACGACGAGCUCCGCCACGCCGGUAUCAUCGACAUGCAGUUCAAGAGGGUGCCGUGUGAGUACCCGGGGCUGUCGGUGACGUUCCACGUGGAGAAGGGGUCGAACCCGAACUACCUAGCGAUCCUGGUGGAGUACGGGAAUGGCGACGGCGACGUGGCGCAGGUCGACCUCAUGGACGACGGCGAGCCGACCGGGCCCUGGGUUCCGAUGAGGCAUUCGUGGGGCUCCAUCUGGCGCCUGGACACGCGCCGCUCGCUGCGGGGGCCCUUCUCGCUGCGGGUCACCAACGGGUCCGGCAGGUCGCUCGUUGCCGACCAGGUCAUCCCCGCCGACUGGAAGCCCGAAGCCGUCUACAGCUCCGACGUCCAGUUUGAUGGUUGA